rnacentral:rRNA from 1 species
UACGGGGGGAGCAAGCGUUGUUCGGAUUUACUGGGCGUAAAGGGCGCGUAGGCGGUAACACAAGUCAGUUGUGAAAUCUCCGGGCUUAACUCGGAAAGGUCAACUGAUACUGUGCGACUAGAGUGCAGAAGGGGCAACUGGAAUUCUCGGUGUAGCGGUGAAAUGCGUAGAUAUCGAGAGGAACACCUGCGGCGAAGGCGGGUUGCUGGGCUGACACUGACGCUGAGGCGCGAAAGCCAGGGGAGCGAACGGG